rnacentral:rRNA from 1 species
GACCCAUUUUGAAAGAAGUUAAGAGGACGUGAACCGGUAAGGUGGAAACGGAUAGAGUCGGCGUAUCAUUCAAUUAUUCAUUUACAUUAUUUUUAUGUUGUGACCUCUGAGCUCCAGAUUGGGACAGAGGGAAUCAGCAUAAUUUUUUGUGGUGCAUUUACUUGAUUGGUGCUUGGGGAUGUUUGAGGCAUAUUUGUUUCCGACGUUUUGAGGCCAGCUUGCUGGUACCCAAACGGUGUUAGCAUUUUUUGUCUUGGGCAUUUGAGUAUGGCUCACGUGUAUUUAUUGGACAGAUCUGAGUGUAAGUUACGGUCGCAUGCGACACGUGCUUUUCAAUUAGUUCGGUCCAGUUAAUGCUCUCGUACUCGUUCCCCAUGUAAAAGCCGGUCAUCUAUCCGACCCGUCUUGAAACACGGACCAAGGAGUUUAUCGUGUGCGCAAGUUUUUGGGUGUUAAAAACUUAAAAGCGAAAUGAAAGUAAAUGACUCUUUAGAGUCUGAUGUGCGAUCUUGUAAAAAAGUGUAGCAUGGCCCCAUUCUAACUGUUUACAGUAGGGUGGCGGAAGAGCGUACGCGGUGAGACCCGAAAGAUGGUGAACUAUUCCUGAGCAGGACGAAGCCAGAGGAAACUCUGGUGGAAGUCCGAAGCGGUUCUGACGUGCAAAUCGAUCGUCUGACUUGGGUAUAGGGGCGAAAGACUAAUCGAACCAUCUAGUAGCUGGUUUCUUUUCAGAAAAAA